CCUACGGGAGGCAGCAGUGAGGAAUAUUUGUCAAUGGACGAGAGUCUGAACCUGCCAAGUAGCGUGAAGGAUGACUGCCCUAUGGGUUGUACACUUCUUUUAUAAAGGAAUAAAACGAGGCACGUGUGCCUUUUUGCCUGUACUUUAUGAAUAAGGAUCGGCUAACUCCGUGCCAGCAGCCGCGGUAAUCCUGCGGAUCCGAGCGUUAUCCGGAUUGAUUGGGUGUCAAGGUAGAGUAGAUGUGUUGUUAAGUCCGCUGUGAACUGCCGCCGAUCACCGGGGUGAAGGGCCAUUGAUACUGCCGUGCUGGAAUGAGGAUGCCGUGGGAGGAACGUGUGGUGUAGCGGGGAAAGGCAUAGAUAUCACAAAGAACACCGAUUGCGAAGGCA
rnacentral:rRNA from 1 species